rnacentral:rRNA from 1 species
AUUGAACGCUGGCGGCAGGCCUAACACAUGCAAGUCGAACGAGUGGCGGACGGGUGAGUAAUGUCUGGGAAACUGCCUGAUGGAGGGGGAUAACUACUGGAAAUGGUAGCUAAUACCGCAUACUAUUGGAUGUGCCCAGAUGGGAUUAGCUAGUAGGUGGGGUAACGGCUCACCUAGGCGACGAUCCCUAGUUGGCCUGAGAGGAUGACCAGCCACACGGAGACGGAAACACGGUCCAGACUCCUACGGGAGGCGGCAGUGGGGAAUAUUGCACAAUGGGCGCAAGCCUGAUGCAGCCAUGCCGCGUGUAUGAAGAAGGCCUUCGGGUGGUAAAGUACGUUCAGCGGGGAGGCGUUACCCGCAGAAGAAGCACCGGCUAACUCCGUGCCAGCAGCCGCGGUAAUUC